ensembl:miRNA mir27a microRNA 27a
CAGGACUUAGCUCACUCUGUGAACAGAUCUCGGAUAUCCUAUGUUCACAGUGGCUAAGUUCCGCU